UAGGUAAUCUACCUUUGGAUGGGAAUAACAAUCGGAAACGGUUGCUAAUACCGCAUAAUGCAGCGGCACCUAAUGGUGACAGUUGUUAAAGCGGGGGAUCGAAAGACCUCGCGUCUAAAGAGGAGCCUGCGGCGGAUUAGCUUGUUGGUAGGGUAACGGCCUACCAAGGCGACGAUCCGUAGCCGGCCUGAGAGGGCGGUCGGCCACACUGACACUGACAUACGGGUCAG
rnacentral:rRNA from 1 species